rnacentral:tRNA from 1 species
GGGUCGGUGGCAGAGCGGCAAUUGCACCAGACUGUAAAUCUGGCGCCUCACGGCUUCGGAGGUUCGAGUCCUCCCCGGCCCACCA